rnacentral:rRNA from 1 species
UACGUAGGGGGCAAGCGUUGUCCGGAAUUAUUGGGCGUAAAGCGCGUGUAGGCGGCUCGGUAAGUCUGCUGUGAAAGUCCAGGGCUCAACCCUGGAAUGCCGGUGGAUACUGUUGAGCUCGAGUCCGGAAGAGGCGAGUGGAAUUCCUGGUGUAGCGGUGAAAUGCGCAGAUAUCAGGAGGAACACCAAUGGCGAAGGCAGCUCGCUGGGACGGUACUGACGCUGAGACGCGAAAGCGUGGGGAGCAAACAGG